rnacentral:rRNA from 1 species
UACGUAGGGUGCAAGCGUUAAUCGGAAUUACUGGGCGUAAAGCGUGCGCAGGCGGUUGUGCAAGACAGAUGUGAAAUCCCCGGGCUUAACCUGGGAAUGGCAUUUGGGACUGCAAGGCUUGAGUGCGGCAGAGGAGACUGGAAUUCCUGGUGUAGCAGUGAAAUGCGUAGAUAUCAGGAGGAACACCGAUGGCGAAGGCAGGUCUCUGGGCUGACACGUGACGCUCAUGCACGAAAGCGUGGGGAGCAAACAGG